rnacentral:misc_RNA from 1 species
GAUGAAGAACGUAGCGAAAUGCGAUAAGUAAUGUGAAUUGCAGAAUCCAGUGAAUCAUCGAAUCUUUGAACGCACAUUGCGCCCGCCAGCAUUCUGGCGGGCAUGCCUGUUCGAGCGUCAUUUCAACCCUCGACCUCCCUUUGGGGAAGUCGGCGUUGGGGGCCGGCAGCACACCGCCGGCCCUGAAAUGGAGUGGCGGCCCGUCCGCGGCGACCUCUGCGUAGUAAUCCAACUCGCACCGGAACCCCGACGCGGCCACGCCGUAAAACACCCAACUUCUGAACGUUGACCUCGAAUCAGGUAGGACUACCCGCUGAACUUAAGCAUAUCAAUAAGCGGGGA